AUCAUUUUAAGUAGUUAUUUUUUUUUUCAGAAAAUAAACUGAAUUUAUGAAAAUAUAUUUUCAAAAAAUGGAAAAUUUUAUUUUGAAAGUAUAUUCAAAUAAAUAAUAAAACACAUUUAGAGCAAACAAAGUCUUCAGCUAAAUUAAUUCAGUAAUUUAUCAAAAGGUAUACUUAAAAUUAUGAAAUUCUUAAAAGAUAUACUUAAUUUUUAGAUUUUUUAAAGGACACACUUAUUAUUUCAAUGUUAUCCCUCUCUUAAAUCACUAUGAUACUGCAUUCAAAGAAUAAUAUCAUUGUGUCGUUGGAUUUUAAACAAUAGCAUCCAGCGAUACUGAUCUUUAAAAAUUAGUAUGAUAAUGAUAUUAUCUUUGAAAAUCAGUACCAUAGUUAUACAAUGAUGAUGUUCUUUAAAAUUUUAUGGUGUUGUUCUUUACAUGCAACAGAUGGGAGUGAUAAAAUAAAAAAUAAAUGUACCUUUUGAAAAAUUUAAAUGUUAGAUGUGUCUUUUGAAAAUUCUAUAACUUUAAGUUCAUCGAUUGCUAAAUAAAAUUAAAUUUGUAUGUAACAUAUUAGUGCGCCCUUUCAUAUCACGUCACGAAACUCUAGAUCAUAACCCAUUUUAGUCCAUGGAAUAUACAUAAAUAUAUCUGACAAGAGCUUAACUUGUAUCAAUGAGUGAUUAAGUUCAAAUUUCUCAUGGUAUUCCUCCGCUAACCUAUUUCGCCAAUUUAGUUUUCAACAUAUUAAUAAUCUCACCCACACUAGAAUAGUAAUUUUCCUCGUGUACAUAUUCAUUUUUAGGAUUAUAAAUGACACGAAUUGAACUGUUCAUAUCGUGAAUUCAUAUUAAUAAUCUCACCCACUUUAUAUUUGCACCGUUGUAUUUUUAUUUCUAUAUUUGAAUAUCAUAUAACUCGAAGGGAAUGUUGACAUCACGAUAAAAUUAUUGUUGACUUUAUGAUUAAGUAUUUGAAUUGUGAAAAUAAUUUCUGGUAAAAUAUAAUCUAAAAUUAUGUACAAAUAGACUCGAUCAUCAUGAGAGCUGUCCUUAUUUUUUUUUUUAUAUAAAUUAAAUAUCAUAUAAGCUAUCCUAGUUUAGAGAUAUAUAAUCUCGCCUUUCUCCUUCCGUCACAAGGAGCCGCCUUCAUCGUGCGAUCCCUUCGAUCGCAAGUGCCGCCUUCUCGAGCCCUGCCCGCUCGCCGCUCUUCUCGUUAGGGCUUCCGACAUUCCAAAUGCACCGGCCUCGCGGAGCUUCCGGUUCGAUCAGCCCGUACAAGAUCUUCUCCGGCGUUAAUUCGUUUCGUCUUCUUUGGGUUUGAUUCGGUAUCCGAGGCUCGGUGUCGCUCUGAGCUUGUGCGAGGAGGAGUAGAUGUUGGUCACUAUGAUCAGAGCUGCACACACGUGAUUGUUUGUCGUCGCGUUUUUGAUGAUCCUGUUUGCGCUACUGCCCGAGAGGAUGGGAAAAUACUGGUGAAUGUGUUGUGGGUUGAUGACAGUUUGGAGCAUAGAACUAUGGCUGAUGCUAGCAGGGCGAGUUCGAGCUUUUUGGGCGAGUUUUGUGGACUUGCAUUUGUCACACUUUAGAUAGAGUAAAUAUGUGUUUCAUGAAAUUAAAAGCUAAAGGACAAUAAAUUAUUUGAUAAAUUAAGCACCUGUUUAAUUUUCAUUA